rnacentral:rRNA from 1 species
UACGUAGGGGGCAAGCGUUGUCCGGAAUCAUUGGGCGUAAAGCGCGCGCAGGCGGUUCCUUAAGUCUGAUGUGAAAGCCCCCGGCUCAACCGGGGAGGGUCAUUGGAAACUGGGGAACUUGAGUACUGAAGAGGAAAGCGGAAUUCCACGUGUAGCGGUGAAAUGCGUAGAGAUGUGGAGGAACACCAGUGGCGAAGGCGGCUUUCUGGUCAGUAACUGACGCUGAGGCGCGAAAGCGUGGGGAGCAAACAGG